rnacentral:sRNA from 1 species
AGCCAACGGCGAGCCAGAUGAUGCGCUUGUCCAUCGGGAGACCCCGCUU